AAGAUAACAUCACAUGGUGAGUUAUACUUUUUCGGAUAUUAUUUUCACUUGUUGUAUCUGCUUGGAUCUUCGGACCGAGACAGAAAG
rfam:Megasphaera sp. BV3C16-1 contig00024, whole genome shotgun sequence.